rnacentral:rRNA from 1 species
AACGAACGCUGGCGGCGCGUUUUAAGCAUGCAAGUCGAGCGGCAAGGGUAGCAAUACCCCUAGAGCGGCGGACGGGUGAGUAACACGUGGACAACCUGCCCUUAGGCGAGGGAUAGCCCAGGGAAACCUGGAUUAAUACCUUAUAAGACCACUGAUAGGAGUAUGAGUGGGGAAAGGUGCUACGGCGCCGCCUGAGGAUGGAUCUGCGUCCCAUUAGCUAGAUGGUAGGGUAAAGGCCUACCAUGGCGACGAUGGGUAGCCGGCCUGAGAGGGUGAACGGCCACACUGGAACUGAGAGACGGUCCAGACUCCUACGGGAGGCAGCAGCUAAGAAUCUUCCGCAAUGGGCGCAAGCCUGACGGAGCGACGCCGCGUGAACGAUGAAGGCCGCAAGGUUGUAAAGUUCUUUUCGGGAAGGAGAAUAAGGGGAGCAGGCAAUGGCUUUCCGAUGCCGUGAAUCCCGGAAUAAGACCCCGGCGUAACUACGUGCCAGCAGCCGCGGUAAGUCUAGUCUACG